rnacentral:rRNA from 1 species
AUAUUAUUAAGCGGAGGAAAAGAAACUAACAAGGAUUCCCCUAGUAACGGCGAGUGAAGCGGGAAGAGCUCAAAGUGGAGAUCGGGUGCCCAAACGGGUCCUCGAGUUGUAAUCUAAAGACGCGUGGUCUGCGCGUGACCCAGACACAAGUCCUUUGGGAGAGGGCAUCAUGGAGGGUGAGAAUCCCGUUCCUGGUCUGGAGUUCGCCGCGUACGAUAUGCGUUCGACGAGUCGUGUUGCCUGGGAUCGCAGCACAAAAUGGGUGGUAAUUCUCAUCUAAGGCUAAAUAUUGGCGAGAGACCGAUAGCGCACAAGUA